rnacentral:tRNA from 1 species
UCUCGAUUGGUCUAGUGGUCAGGAUACCUGCUUGUCAUCAACAAUCCGCAGGUGGCCGGGGUUCGAUUCCCCGAUCGAGAG